rnacentral:rRNA from 1 species
UACGUAGGGUGCGAGCGUUUGUCCGGAAUUAUUGGGCGUAAAGAGCUUGUAGGCGGUCUGUCGCGUCUGCUGUGAAAAUCCGGGGCUCAACCCCGGACUUGCAGUGGGUACGGGCAGACUAGAGUGUGGUAGGGGGAGACUGGAAUUCCUGGUGUAGCGGUGAAAUGCGCAGAUAUCAGGAGGAACACCGAUGGCGAAGGCAGGUCUCUGGGCCACUACUGACGUGAGAAGCGAAAGCAUGGGGAGCGAACAGG